rnacentral:tmRNA from 1 species
GGGGGUGAAUUAGGUUCGACAGGCGUCGUUGAACCCGUGGUUGCAGGCCCUGGUUGGCCAGAGCCAGGAUAAAAUCCGGCCAAAACACAAAAGCCAACUCACCAUUGGCCUGGGCCGUCGCCUAAACAGCGGUCGGCGCACGCCGGUCCCUGACUCCUGCUGGGGGGUCCCGGUGUCAAGAAGCAGGAUGCGGAUUCUCCCGCGGUCACCGUCGGCGGGAAUCCAAAGACCGAACGGGGAUAGUCCGGAGGCAGCCGUCCGCCGUUUUCUCCGGAUGAAACCAAGGGCGGGCUAAGCCUGUAGGAGCCCGGGCCGGCGGCGUUUGGACGCGGGUGCGAUUCCCGCCACCUCCACCA